AAAUGAAUAGACGGGAGCCCGCACAAGCAGUGGAGUAUGUGGUUUAAUUCGACGCAACGCGAAGAACCUUACCGGAACUUGACAUCCUCAUAAAAGGACUGUAAUGGUCUAAUGCCCUUCGGGGAAAUGAGAGACAGGUGGUGCAUGGUUGUCGUCAGCUCGUGUCGUGAGAUGUUGGGUUAAGUCCCGCAACGAGCGCAACCCUUAUGGUUAGUUGCUACGCAAGAGCACUCUAGCCAGACUGCCGUUGACAAAACGGAGGAAGGUGGGGACGACGUCAAAUCAUCAUGCCCCUUACGUUCCGGGCUACACACGUACUACAAUGGCGCAAACAAAGGGAAGCGAAGCCGCGAGGUGGAGCAAACCCCAUAAAAGGCGUCCCAGUUCGGACUGCAGGCUGCAACCCGCCUGCACGAAGUUGGAAUUGCUAGUAAUCGCGGAUCAGCAUGCCGCGGUGAAUACGUUCCCGGGCUUUGUACACACCGCCCGU
rnacentral:rRNA from 1 species